UGUAUUCUAGACUGUGCUUUAUUAUUGGGCUAAGCUGACUCAUCAUUCAUUAAAAUACAAAAGAGUCCAGGGGACCAGAGAAUGAUGCAGUCUGGAGAGAUGAGGGUGGGAGCCUAAUGCAGUCUAACCAACAAGAGGCCUCCCUCAUCAGACAUGGCGAAGCUCUAACACUCAACAUUAAAUUCCCCAUUCCCUUCAUGUACUGAAAUUAUCUUCAGAAUACUUUUGAAACCAUUAACAAAAUGUAAUUCUAAGAACACUAGCUUGUAAGAAUAAACCCUUGAUAACAGCUUUGAAGGUAAACUCAGAAAUCGGGUAACUAAAUAUUUGAUGAAAUAGUGCAGCUCUUGAUGGGUGUUUCACCCCUGAUAAUACAGAACUUGUACAAUGCCAGAGCUCUUUAAGACAUACCAAAUAAUCAGAUAAAAAUAAACUGUGAUUAUUACAGAACUCCUAACACCUCAGAAUAAGGGACACAUACAAUGUAGCAUUUCUAAGCACCAAUUAGCAGCACUAGUUCUUUAAAAGUCCUACAUGAGCAUCAAUACUUUGGAAAUGCGUCUGUCAUGGAUGGACAUCUAACCUGGCAACCUUAGACUACUACAAACAAAUAUGUAAUAACCAAAUGUGUAUCCCUUUUUUUGAAGUGUUACAAAGAGCUUAGAUGGUCAACAAAGCAGCAUUUAAACAGAAUAGCACAUUCAAAUUGUUGGAUACAUGUACAGUUUUUACUUUAUAGUGGACAUGUUUUGUUGUUGAUUUUUAAACAAAAUUAAAUUAGUAAAUUUGGGCAUAAUACCAUAUAUGUACUGUAUAUUGGGGUAUUAAAAAAAAAUUAUAGCCUGAUUGGUAUUUUCAAUGUUAUUUCUUCCCUCCCAAUUCCCAUGCCAAUGUCUAGGCCAGUCUUUUGUAGCACAAAUAAAUAACUACUGUCAGGUUUAAGCCUUGACUGUGCUGCUGGGAGCUCAAUGCGUCGCCUCAGAUGGGAACUGGAAUCGUUAGUGAGAAUUUCAUUGGCUUGUUGCGUUCUGGUGACUAUAUCUGGCUGGUAAGAUGUCUGCAAAAACCAAACUAAGCUUGUCAGUCAAGUACAGGACAGGAAUGGUAUGAAAUCUUGAUAUUCCCCAACAAUCAUAGUUUGUCAUGCUGUUGUCAGUGCAACAUAUAGACUGGCAAAAUUUGGAUUUGGCAUGUGACCAUUUACAAAUAUAUAACAAUUUGAAUGCACUAAGAAGCUUGGGUAUUUACAGCAAUGAAUGAUUGAACAGUUGAGAUACAUUUAAAAAUGUUAGGAGAAGGUUAGGUAUGGCAAAGUACAAGGGAAAUUAAGAACAGUUUAGUUGAAAGCAGCAAAAAGCUUGAGGUGGAAUCAAGCUCUGAUAUUCAAUAUAAAGCCGCUUCACAGAUGAAAAAAAGAAAUGCUUGACAAAACAAACGUGGCAAAUUAUAUGUCAAUUUCUCAAACCACUGUUGGAGUUGUCGAACCUGUAGACAAGAUACAGUGGUCAUCAGUGUACCACUGUGGGCCUAUACAUGAAUAUAAAAAAACUAUUUGGUCACAUACCAACUCAUAGAAAAAUAAUGCUAUGAAAUCAUGCAUAUCGUCUGUAAACAGAAGUAAUGAAUAAAUAAAUAAAUAAAAGAACCCCAAAAUAUUUUUAUAAAAAGAUAAAUGCAUGUCCAUGGUCUAAUUGAGUUCAAUGCUCUCCCUGACUGUUUUCUGGCUAACUGCCUAGGUCAGGUCCUACGUUACAGUUGUAUCAUAUCCCUUUGGACUCUUUUUUUAUUUUUUUAUUUAACCUGAUUCCAAUGAUUAUUAUGUUUCCAUUAAUCUUUUUUUUUAGUAUUUCAAGUUUAAUUUUUAUCCAGUAAUUUUAGAUAGAAGUAAAAGUCCUAUAAAAUAUGCAAACCUAUGUACAGAGGAACGGAGCAACAAAACAUUUACAGUAUAUUCAUCAGUUUAUGUAUAUAUUUAUAUUUAUAUAUAUAUAUUUAUAUUCAGUCUUCUCUGUUUUUUUUUUCAUUGUUUUUGAACCACUGUUUUUUUUACCCAUUAACAUGUAAACAGUUGCAGCUGAAAGUUAUUGUGUGAGAAAGAGGCGCUCAAUAUCGUCAUUCCCCUCCUGCUACCAUCAUUCACUCAAUUUAAAAGCAUUGGGAAAGGUGUAAGAAACGCACUAACAGUGCUUUAGCCUUUUUGAAAGGCUUGAAGGACUUUUUACCAUCAUGCUGACACAUACGCAGUACUGUCCGGUCUUGGAGGGUGAGGUAACAUAGGCAGAGAGGUGUGCAAGCAGAAAAAUUAGGCAAAACAGAACCAAGUGAAGAAUGCAAGAUAAAUUUCAAGGAGGAAGCAUCACCAACCUCCGUUAACAUAUGAGGGGUGGGAUUAAGGGUGAGAGUGAUCUAAAUAAGUAAUGCAAUGAAUAGAAGAAAUAGGGCUCGUUCUGAGAUGGGAAUAGGGAAUAGGGAAUAGGGUUCGUUCUGAGAUGGGAAUAGGGAAUAGGGAAUAGGGCUCGUUCUGAGAUUGGAAUAGGGAAUAGGGAAUAGGGCUCUUUCUGAGAUGGGAAUAGGGAAUAGGGAAUAGGGCUUGUUCUGAGAUGGGGAUAGGGGAUAGGGAAUAGGGCUCGUUCUGAGAUGGGAAUAGGGAAUAGGGAAUAGGGCUCAUUCUGAGAUGGGAAUAGGGAAUAGGGCUCGUUCUGAGAUGGGAAUAGGGAAUAGGGAAUAGGACUCGUUCUGAGAUGGGAAUAGGGAAUAGGGCUCGUUCUGAGAUGGGAAUAGGGAAUAUGGCUCGUUCUGAGAUGGGAAUAGGGAAUAGGGCUCGUUCUGAGAUGGGAAUAGGGAAUAGGGAAUAGGGCUCGUUCUGAGAUGGGAAUAGGGAAUAGGGCUCGUUCUGAGAUGGGAAUAGGGAAUAGGGCUCGUUCUGAGAUGGGGAGAUGCAUUGAAGACUUGGGAGCCAAAUCCUAACUUGAUAUGCAGAUACAUUUCAAGUAAACCAUGAGUUUACUGAUGUCAAUAGGAAAUGUGUACAAAAAUGGAAGUAACAUGAAAAAGAUCUCAAGAUAAAUUGUAUCCUUAUAAUGGGGAGAGGCAUUUUGGUAACACACUCCUUGAUAAGUGUCAAGGACAGCGUUAAUGACAUCUUUAGGCCUGUUUACAUCAGGGGAGACAAGGUGAGAGAUCUUGCAGCAAAGAUGUCAUGUACAGCAGUAAAUUACUAUUGAUGUUGGGAACUGCCUGGUGUUCUUCACCGGUGGUCAGUGUUUACCCACCUUCUAUUUACUACUACAAGUAUUCAAAUAACCACUAGUGCAAUGGUGUGGUGAGGAACAGUUUGGAGGAUAAAGGUCAACACAAUUAUGGCUGAAUUAGCAGUGGCUGUAUCCAUAAAGAAAAUAAUAAAAAAACACUUCCUGGUCCCAUUCUGUUCAGUAACCAUUCUGGUUCUGCAAUGUGUUAACAUCAUGACACUUACAGUACCCAUACAAUAUGCAAUGUAAUACCAUCAGUUUAAUUAAUACCAAAACAAAUGGAACCCACCCUCAAGGGUUCUUAUACAGCAUUUCCAAGCACUCCUUCAGUUAGUACCUGCACUAGCAGAGUACCUAAUGCCCACUUUGAUAGAAAGUAUAAUAAAUAUACAUCACAAUACGUUUUUGACUGCCAGUCGUAAAUAAUUCUGGGGACAUCCAGGUUAAUUCAUGGUAUGGAUGUGUUAGAAGACCGUGAACAAUUUGUUAUAUUUGACAGGGUUUACAGCUAAAGCUCUUCAUGGAGAUGUUAAAUGACAUGAUGGAUGCAACUUCAGUUUUGACAUCAUUGUAGCGCACUGGCUGCUUGCAGAGGUGUUUUGAGAGCACAGUGCUUGAUGGGAGAUUCUGCAAAUUACAAGGCACACCUUGUGGUGACAGCCCAUACGCUACAUGCAUGCAUUUACUUACUGAAUGCAGUUAAGAGAAAGAAAAGGUCAUGGUAUUCAUCCAUUUUGGUUCAAGUUUCAAGGAGAACACUUUGUUUUCUCACGUGACAGUACAUCUGUGUAGAGUGCACUGCGAAACUAAAAAGAUAUGUUUGGAAUUGAGUCGAAGAUAUUUGUCAUUUACCUACAAAAUUCAUUUAGCCUGAUUCUCUUAAGCCUGCUACUGAGAAAUGGCUUUUUUGCAUUUUCAAAUGGUAUGUGUACACCUAUAUAGUGUAUGUGAACCUUCACAUAUAUUUAAGAAUAUGUGUGUAUCAGCAUAUAUGUUGAUGAGAAAGAUAUCUGCCUGCAGUUUUGGGAGCUGCCAGAUGUUUCUUCCCAAGCAGUGCAGUGUUUUAAACCAGCUACAACCUACAAAAAAAAAAAGACUGCUCAACAUAGUCAAUAGCCGUUCUAUAUACAGACACAUAUCUAUAUUUAUAUAAAAUAUGUGCAUAUAAAUACAUAUAUUAGUUUGAUUAAUAUAAUUUGAUCCAUAAAUACAUAU
ensembl:lncRNA